rnacentral:lncRNA from 1 species
GGGCAAGAGGAAAAGGACUGUGGACCUGUACUGCGUUUCAAGAGAUGAUCAGUUGUUACAUGCUUAAACAUUUUUAGUUUUAUUUUGUUUUAUUUAUGCGGCAUGUAAACUAAUUUAACAAAUGAACUAGUUUUGGAUAUUUUUUUGGUUUGUUUUAUUUUUAUUAUUUCAUUAUUAUUUAUUUCUUUUGCUUUUUUUUGUUUGUUGUCUUAUGUGCAGCCACUCAACCCAGAAGUUACACUAAAUUUUCGAUCAUUCAAUGAAAAGGUAGAUGACCCGAGCUAGUUUGAUGCUCUAUUUAAGGAAUUCCAGUAACCUCUUAAUCUUUAGUUAUGAACAUAUUAGGGACAAUUUGAAGCUUGAGUGUGAG